ACGACCUUACUUAGACAGGAUCUAUUCUAUAGGAUCGUACCGUUGCAUCCUUACCAAUAAGGAGGCAAGCACUUCAGUCUGGCUGAUGCAUUCUGACCUCUAGACCAGAGCGUGAUUAACGGCUUGGGUGCCUCUGAUGGAGUCUCAUCCGGUGGCUGUAGAUGAUCGUUCUUGCCUGGCUCCGGCUUGGGCAUUACGGCCUAGAGGUUGUCUGACAGACU